CCGGAAUAAAACAGCGUGAGGACACCGGCGCGCGGCGCGGCGGCAAGAAUUAAAAAGGUGUGCGAACGUUGGCGCGUCUCGAGGUUGGCGAUCCCUCGAUUACUCCUGAUAAUAGAUAGUAAAGGAUAAUGCACGGUGAUAAAGGAUAACCUCACGUACCUCGGGAUAAUAUUCCUGCAAAGGGUUUUCUCGAUUUUUCGCGAACAUCCUGCGAUAAAACUAACAAGAUGACGGUCUGUGAGAUAAUUGGGAGACUCUUAAGGGUUUCAGUGCGUUUCCCGCGUUCUUAAGAGUCACAAGCAAGUUCCGAGGAAUUUGUGAGGAUAUUUAUUUUGGACAAACACUGCCGGUUCUUUCGAACAGUUUGACGUCGCCUGCGUCGAUUCUGUGAGUUUUAUUGUUAGUGAUAUGUCGAUAUUAGCAGCGAAAUUUUAAGUGCAAUAUCAUCGAUUAAUUUUACUGUGGGACAUCCUGACUCAUCGAGAAUUAUUGAAGAAAGUGCCGUACAUUCGUGAAACUCAUGAUUUGCGUCGUUCAUCUUUCUACGCAUCUUUCAUGUCAAAAGUAGAACUGCAGCGUGUAAAAGCGUCGCAAAAUCCCUUCUCGGACACGUCGAUAUCGGUGCUCGUGUAACGAAGAAUAAAACCAUAAUACGAGCAUCGAGGGAAGGUGCGAUCAUCACUCGGCAUGAAGGAUGGUUGACAUAGUCGAGCAGCGAGACAAGCAAUCAAAAACACGCUCGAGUACUUUGUCGAUGUAACCGCGUCCCAGGAGUCACGCGUGAAUGCGAAACGAAACGAGCGGUAACCGUACGUGUGCAGCGAGUUCACUUCGCUGUUUUAUGGACAGUCGAUUUGAUGAAUUACAUUGAACGAUUCAUUUCGCGUGCAAAUAAAUUUUGCGGUGCGUAGUUUAAUAACGCCGAUAAAAAUCUUUCUCAACGCGGCUUACAACUCAAUUGUCAACUUUUACGCGAAUUGGUGUGUUGAAGAGAUAUACAUAUGCGAGGUUUCAACCGUGUAACAUUUGCAAUGAGCGAUCUUUUUACAAUUUUAAUUUCUGUCAAACCGAUUCAUAUAUA